rnacentral:rRNA from 1 species
AGAACGAACGCUGGCGGCGUGCCUAACACAUGCAAGUCGAACGCGAAAGUGGACUUCGGUCCGCGAGUAGAGUGGCGCACGGGUGAGUAACACGUGGAUAAUCUACCUAAUGAUCAGGGAUAACACUUCGAAAGGGGUGCUAAUACCCGAUAAGCCUACAGUCACUUCGGAGACAGUAGGAAAAGAUGGCCUUCUUGAAAGCUAUUGUCAUCAGAUGAGUCCGCGUCCCAUUAGCUAGUUGGCGGGGUAAUGGCCCACCAAGGCUACGAUGGGUAGCUGGUCUGAGAGGAUGAUCAGUCACACUGGAACUGAGACACGGUCCAGACUCCUACGGGAGGCAGCAGUGGGGAAUUUUGCGCAAUGGGCGAAAGCCUGACGCAGCAACGCCGCGUGAGGGAUGAAGGUUUUAGGAUCGUAAACCUCUGUCAGAAGGGAAGAACCACCUGUAGUAUAAUACACUGCAGGCUUGACGGUACCUUCAAAGGAAGCACCGGCUAACUCCGUGCCAGCAGCCGCGGUAAUACGGAGGGUGCAAGCGUUGUUCGGAAUUAUUGGGCGUAAAGCGCGUGUAGGCGGUUUUUUAAGUCUGAUGUGAAAGCCCCGGGCUUAACCUGGGAAGUGCAUUGGAAACUGGAAGACUUGAGUACGGGAGAGGAAAGCGGAAUUUCGAGUGUAGGGGUGAAAUCCGUAGAUAUUCGAAGGAACACCAGUGGCGAAGGCGGCUUUCUGGACCGAUACUGACGCUGAGACGCGAGAGCGUGGGGAGCAGACAGGAUUAGAUACCCUGGUAGUCCACGCCGUAAACGAUGGGCACUAGGUGUCGCGGGUAUUGACCCCUGCGGUGCCAAAGCUAACGCAUUAAGUGCCCCGCCUGGGGAGUACGGCCGCAAGGCUA